rnacentral:misc_RNA from 1 species
ACACCUCAACUCUCAUGGUUUGCCAUGAUGAGCUUGGACUUUGGGGGUCUUGCUGGCCUGUGGUUGGCUCCUCUCAAAUGAAUCAGCUUUCCAGUGUUUGGUGGCAUCACAGGUGUGAUAACUAUCUACGCUUGUGGUUUUCCACCAGGUAACCUUCAGCAAUGGGGGUUCGCUGGGGCUCAUAAACGUCUCUCCUCAGUGAAGACAGCUUUGUGAAU